CGGGGCUUUAAAUUAGGCCACUUUCCAUCAACCACGGUCACAUUCACAUUACCUCAAACUUUUUGUGUCUGUUAUCUGCUCGACGUAUUCACUAUUGACUGGAGAAUAGAUUCCAAUUGCUGCUCCAUUGGGAGCUCUUCAAGCUUUUCGCUGCACAAAUCUUGUUCAUUCUUCUUCUCAUGUUCAAGUUUUUCUUUUGCUUGAAAUAACAUUAUUUCCUUCUGUUUUUUAAUUAUCAUCAUGCCCAUCACCAAGUGUUGGCCUUCGCUCUCUUCCUCUAAUGCUGAUUAGCUCAGACUGAAACGCAUUGAAUGCUUUAUUAAAUUGAGCCGAAUUGAUUUCAUCUUCAUGUUCAUCGCCCAGCUUCUGUCUACCAGACCUUCCACCUCUCUUUUUCUGUGAAAAAUGUUUUAAAUGCUGUAAUUAUUUCACUUUCUUCUUUAUCUGGACAAUCACCCUUUAAUGAAAACACCGGUUUUUGCCAUUAAUUCCUUGCUGUCUUUGAUACCCCACCUCCUCUAAUCCUCUCUCUUUAGACCCACCAUUUUUAAAGAAAGCUUUUUCGUAACGUUUUUGAACCCAAUUCAAUAUCCUUCAAUCUUUGUUCUUUCAAACACAUGACCAAGAGUAACAGUAGCAGCAACACCGCAUCUCCACAACACCACCAGGACACAAUGACCCACUUGGACUUGUGCAAGAAAUUCAAACGCUUGAAUCCUCUUGAGCCCUCUCUUGGCAUUCUUGGUUUCCUUCUGGUCACUCUCCUUUUCAUUGGCUGCUUCUUCUACUUGGAUUACCGAUCUGUCACUCGUGGCCUGCGGCACCAUGGGGUUUCUUGGCUGGGACUGGUUACUCCAUCUUCAUCAUCACAACUGAAUACUGAUAAUGGACGGCCGGGUUUUCUUGAUAAGCGUGGUGUUGGGUGUGACAUUUUUGAUGGGAACUGGAUUUGGGACGAUAGCUAUCCCUUGUAUCAGAGUAAAGAUUGCUCCUUUAUAGAUACUGGGUUUAGGUGUUUAGAGAAUGGAAGGCCUGAUAGUUUCUACACCAAGUGGCGUUGGCAACCCAAUCAUUGUGACUUGCCGAGAUUUGAUGCAAAGGUGAUGUUGGAAAAGCUGAGGAACAGGCGGCUUGUAUUUGUUGGGGACUCAGUUGGAAGAAACCAAUGGGAGUCCCUCCUUUGUAUGCUUGCCACUGCUGUUCGUGACAAUUCUUCAAUCUAUGAGGUGAAUGGGAGGCCAAUCACAAAGCAUAGAGGGUUUCUAGCGUUCAUGUUCAAGGACUAUAAUUGCACUGUUGAAUAUUACAGAGCUCCAUUUCUAAUUUACCAGGGCCGUCCUCCAGUUGGUGCUCCAGAAAAGGUGAAAAUGACUUUAAGAGUAGAUAAAUUGGAUUGGACUGCCCCUCAGUGGAGAAAUGCGGAUGUGUUGAUUUUCAACUCUGGUCAUUGGUGGAAUUAUGAGAAGACCAUAAGAGUGUAAAUACAACUUAUCUUAUACCCUCUUCUUCUUUUUAUUUCUUUUAAUCCCAUGCUCCCAUUACUUGGGGAUAUUGAGCAAAAUAUCUUAUGAUAGUUUCACUAAAAGAGUUAUAAAGAGAUGAAUGUGAUGUUUAGGUAGCACAUGCAUCUGCUCAGUAUAGAAACUUAGGCCUUAUAAGGUGGCCAAAGGUAUGUCCAUUUUGUAGAUGGGUGCAGGGAGAGAAGUUCCAAAAACAUUAUUCCUUUAUUUUUGCUUGUUCAGGUUGGGAACUAAGGAAUCUAUCAAAAUCCCAUUUAACCCUUUAUCAUUGAAGCCAAGCCCCAAGGGCUUAUGUUGUCUAUAGUAUGUAUAGUGGUCAUUGAGAUAAUGACGCUCAGAACUACUAGAUCAGAUUCUCCCAGGUUUAUACCUUUUAAAGUUUAGACAGAAGAAUUUCAGAAGAAAAAAAAAUGCAAAAGAAUCUUUGUACGUUACUUUUUUAUUGUGCUGAUGUAUUACCAACCAGUUGUCACCUCUUCCCACAAUAAUAUUUCCACCUUCUUAUUGUUGCCACUAUGAAAACACACAUAUUACCUACAAUGUUAUCACCAAUACCAUUAGCACUGUUCUGCUAUCAUCACCAUACCACUUGUGUCCUGCACACUGCCAUUGUCCUUUACGCAUUCUGGCCUUCGCAACAAAAUUGGAAAUGAAUUGAAUAUGACCUACCUACCUCUCUUUCUUUCUCUGAACUCCACUGGAUGAAGAUCACUGCAGGAAUAGUUGGCAACCUUGAUAGAAGUGAAGUCAGAUCAGAGUUAUCAUGGUGGGUGAAACUAACAAGAAGUUGGCUGAUAAUGCCUUAUUAACAUUCCUUAGUUUUAGAAGGGGAAUAGUUGAGCUCUGUUUUCUUGCUUUCUUCUUAACUUCUCUAUUUUUUCAGUGACCUUUGUUGUCUUUAUAAGAUCCUGGUACAAGUCUUAAGGAAGCCACAUUAUUGAGAUUUUGAAACAGUGACCAUAAAUUUAGAGGUUUUCACUCAGGUUUGCAUACUUAAUACUGUUUGAAAGCUGAAGGAAAUUGUGAUCUGUUUGUCCUAUUAUGAUUAUGGUAUUGAUAUUUGAUCUUUGGUUUGUGUUAUUCGUUAGGGAUUGCUACUUCCAAGAGGGGGAUGAGGUAAAGAUGGAUAUGAGCGUUGAAACUGCAUACCGAAGAUCACUUGAAACUUUGAUUGAUUGGAUACGUAGCAAAAUAAAUGUGAGCAAGACCCAAGUCCUCUUUCGAACCUAUGCUCCUGUUCAUUUCAGGUUUGUCUCAUUAUUAAUUUAUUCUUUGUCUGAAACUGUCUUUUUAAUUUUCCUCACAUGGUAUAUCAGUUUGACUUGGUUUUUAGAGACAAUGAUGUAAAUAUAUCCUUUAAGCAAUUCAAGAUUUAUUCAUAAUUAACUUAUCACUAAAAUAUUUGAACUGCCAUAUAUUUUAUGAAUGCUUACAUCAUCACCACGGACUGGACCCUAUAAAGUUUUUAAACAAAACAUAUAAAUCAUGUAAUCUUGUGAUUGUGGGGGUGAACCUUAAUUCAUUCCUCACUUUCAUCUGGCACAAUGAAGAAUUAGGAGGUCAACAGACUUUUGAGAUCAUGCCUAGGGCUGGUCAUGGGCUGGUUCCUGUUCACCAGGAGCAUGAACCUGAACUGGCCCUCAAGGUCCUUCCACAGUUCCCUCUUGGUUCAACCUGAUUUGGUCAGGUUUUAAUCAAAUCCAAUGGUCCAUUUUUUUUUUAAUUUUUUAAAUGCAAAAAAAUCCAGUUUUAGCCCUGAAUUGAAUUGGCCAAUUCUAGUCCAAUUCAGUCAUGAUUUAAGUCAAUCAUAGUUUUGACCGGUUUUGGUCCAGUUCUGACCUGGCCUGGGGCCGGGUCUAGCAAUGCCUUUACAUAUUCUCAUCCUAUACCUGAACCAAGAUGUUAUAGAAGUUAUAUUAUCAUCAUCAUGCAACUAACCUGUUAUGUAACAGAGGUGGCGACUGGAAGACUGGUGGUAGCUGUCACAUGGAAAAGCUUCCUGACUUGGGCUCACUGCCGAGUUCAUCAGAUUACCAUUUCAAAAUACUUUUCGAUGUGUUAUUAGAGCACUCAAAUGAAUCACAUGUGAUGAACUUGGAUUUAUUGAAUGUGACGAACAUGGCAGCACAGAGAAAGGAUGGCCAUGCAUCUGUGUACUAUCUAGAGCCUGGAAUUGGUCCAGCUUCUCUACACCGUCAAGACUGCAGUCAUUGGUGCUUGCCUGGUGUCCCUGAUUCCUGGAAUGAACUUCUUUAUGCAUUUCUUCUCAAGCGGGAGUCUGCUCAUGCACAAAAUUCAACAGAAUCUUCUCAAGCUCCAUUGUGAUUAGUACAGAUAGCUUUCUGAUUUUUCCAACAUGAUUAGAGUGCAGGUUCCUUGCACCAACCGGCAAAAUCAUCAUUUUGUAUAUUGGUUUCUAUUUGAUCAAUCAUAGUUUGCCAUAACACCUCUGGCAAACGAUCGAAUUAUACUAUUUUUGGCGAUGGUCUUCCGUCCCUCUAUCUUGAAUGUUCCAUGAUGGUGAUUGAACAGAAGAUGAGCCUAAUAGGCAUCAAGAGAGGUGAGAGAAUCAUGGCAGCGGAUUUGUAGUACAGGCAAGUUGACGAAACAAAGUUGAUACUCAGGAAGAGGUAUACACAAGCAUGUUUAUUCUUGUUACAUGGUUUAUUUCAUAGAAAUAGAAAUAGAAGAAGAAAAAAAUGUCAAUUAUGACACCAUGUGCACUGUAUGUAGAGCAAAUACUGAAAUUUUAGAAGUAAAUUUGCUUCUUUUCUUCUCUCUUUUUUAGUUUUUUUUUAAUUAUUAUUACUUUAGUUCAUUAUUAUUGUUUAAGAACGGUUUCAUCUAUAAUAUAGAAAUGAUGCAUACUUAAAACUGUCUUCAUUAAUUCUGAACCUUGCAUGUUCAGACCUUAGGGGUAAGUUUUAUUAUGUUAGGUGAUUUUUGGCUACAAAAAUAAAUGAAAUUUUGUGAUAACAAAACGUUGCA
rnacentral:misc_RNA from 1 species